rnacentral:rRNA from 1 species
UCAAAGCCAUAUCACCUGCAGCUCUCCACUGGCUACCCACUGAAGCUCAGCAGGUUUGAGCCUGGUCAGUACCUGGAUGGGAGACCUCCUGGGAAGCUAUGGUUGCUACUGGAA